CAGUACGGCUGGUAUGAAUUGGUGAAUUGCACUAGUGAAUUCUUGUGUUACAAGUAACUAGAGAAUUCACGACAACGAGGUAAUGCAGAGAAGCAAUAGUACAUGAGAGAGAUUGAGAGAGAAGAGAGCAUGAUCUAGAGAACGUUGUGCUUAAUUUGUACUCUCAGUAGAAUAUUACCGACAAAUAAGGGUGGGAAUGCAAUUUUGAGAGAUCGAAGCAAAAAUAACGCAGAAUAAUAACGGCAGAGCAUCUCGUACAGUAAGUACAAGUUGUAAAUAAUUAUUGGAUCAUUAUAGUAUUUACGUACAAGUUGGUCAUUGAAAGCAUGAUUUACUGUAGUAGAAAGAAAGGCAUCAGCGUUUUCUUUGUAAUUCUGAUAUUUCAUUUUUCGCAUAAUAGUUGUUCUCUGAUUGUACAAUUGAUCUCGCGUCGCGGGUUCUAAUACGUUUAUUGUUUAUUAAAAGUGUUAUUAAAAGGUGAAUAAUUAAAUGAAAUAAUAGUGAAUAAAAACAAAGAAAACAUAAAUAUUUUAUGCAAAAAAAUGGAUUGCCCUGCACAAUGAAAAGAGAUCAACACCAAAUUUUAAUGGAACUCUUAGAAAUGUGACUUGGGGAUAUAAGUGCAGUGAUAUAUAUGUCGCUUUUGAAUCCAGCCGAAGUGCACAAAAACUUCUGACUUGACUGAUAUUAACCGACCCUGUUGUUCAGAUGGUAAAUAUAAUUGUAAACAAAGAAAUUUUAAAUAAAAAAUAAUAUUGUUAAUUAUAUAAAAUUUAAAUAGAAUUUGUGUUUAAUUAUGUUUGGAAUAAACUAGCUAGGUUGAGAGGUAGUGAAGAAAGUAGUGAAAUUUAAUAGUCGGUAAGUUGUGAAGUAACUAAUGAUAUAUAGUCAGUGAUAUGUGGUGAAGUAGCUAGUGAAAUAUAGGCGGUGAAAUCACUCGUGAAUAGUGUUAAUCGGUUACCGCCAAUGACAUCGCCGUGUUAAAUUCAUGAGUGAAUUGCAUUGCCGGUAUUAUGGUGGGUAACCAGUGGUGGUUACCAGUAAGUAGUGAACUCACUAGUGUUUCACUAAUGAGCCGAACU